AGGUAGUCAUGUCAUCAUUCUGUUUGUUAAGUACAAGGUUUCUGAAUUGCAGUGGGCCUGAAAGCCUAGUUGUUUGUGGAUACGUGGCAGUGUUUUAGAAUCAUAGUACUAAAGGUAGUUCUACAACAACAAUCUAUUUCUGCCUUUAAGACAACAGAACAUACUGUUACAUUGCCAUAUACUUAUUGGUGAUGACAUAUGAUAUUAUGAGCUGCAGUCAUUUCAUACGGUACUAGUAGUACCAUAGAUGGUGGGGCUGUGAUCUAUAAGUAGAAUGUUUAUGCUGCAACUUUUGUUUAUUAACUGCCUAUUAUUUCACUGGGAUUGUUUUAUGAUGUUUUUGAUUUAUCAUCUUAACAGGGGCAUUUGAUUUUAUUGCC
rnacentral:misc_RNA from 1 species